rnacentral:rRNA from 1 species
UACGAAGGGGGCUAGCGUUGCUCGGAAUUACUGGGCGUAAAGGGCGCGUAGGCGGCUUUAUAAGUCGGGGGUGAAAGCCUGUGGCUCAACCACAGAAUUGCCUUCGAUACUGUAGAGCUUGAGACCGGAAGAGGUAAGUGGAACUGCGAGUGUAGAGGUGAAAUUCGUAGAUAUUCGCAAGAACACCAGUGGCGAAGGCGGCUUACUGGUCCGGUUCUGACGCUGAUGCGCGAAAGCCAGGGGAGCGAACGGG